AAUGAAAUCCAAACCAAAUGAAGUCACGGAUUCGAUCACAGCACUUACUGCUAAUUUUUCAAAUAAGGAUGUUUGGUGAUUCUGUCCUUCAUGCUUCGCCCUGUGGUGGACUGUACAUAGUUGAUGGUACUGUUAAUAUUCCACCUAAGAUGAAUAGUGAAAAUAUUGCGUACGAGGUGCACCCUGACUGUCUGAGCAAGUAUCAGCUCUGGCAUUAACGGUUAGGACACUUAUGUCGCAUAGGCAUGAAUCAAUUGAAGAAUCAUCAGGUAGGAGUAGAUUUUAGUUAGUUUUUUAUUUUUUUGUUGCUGUGUGUUGAUAUGUUAUGAUAAGUUUUUUUUUGUAAGACAAUUUAGUUUAAAGGGGGAUGUUGGAACUGGCUGUAAACUAAAUUGUUUAUAUUUAAACUUAUUCUUAUUUUUAUUCUUUUUCUAAAAUCUUUUUGUUUUACGUUCGAUGAUUUUUAACUUACUUCAAAUAUAUAUCUCAAACAGGA